rfam:Ruegeria sp. CECT 5091 genome assembly, contig: 0001
GCGGAGGGCCGGAUGGCCGCUGGGGCGUAUGCCCGAGAGGAAAGUCCGGACUCCACAAGACAACGGUGCCGGGUAACGCCCGGGCGGGGCAACCCGACGGAAAGCGCCACAGAAAUCAGACCGCCGCACCAUUGCAGAGGUUCGCCUCCGGCAAAACGCGGUAAGGGUGAAACGGUGGGGUAAGAGCCCACCGCGCCGCUGGCAACAGUGGCGGCACGGCAAGCCCCACCGGGAGCAAUGCCAAAUAGGGUCCCCGCGCGGGCCGGUCGGCGUCAGCCGAUACCGCCGCUAAGCUCGUCUUGGCCGAGAGGGACCGGGUUGGCAGCUUGAGCCGCGCAGCAAUGCGCGGCCUAGAGGAAUGGUCAUCGAAGGGGGCUACCCCGGAACAAGAUCCGGCUUACAGGCCCUCCGCGCAU